UACAAAUUAUCCCAAAAUUAUGACAUGGCUUUCAGGGACUAUGAAUGUUUCGACCGUCGUCUAUCCAACUACAGCAUGCAUCAAUGCGAGGAUGAUCGUUUGCUAAAGGAAUAUAAGCAACCUUGUGCUCACAUCAUCAUUCGUCAUCGCCAAUACCGACUUACCAAAAGCCAGUUAAAGGUUUGCCUGCAUAGCCCGAACAAUUUGGACUAAAGCAUCAUUUCAAAUGUGGAGUCCUAUACUAAAGAGGAUGAUAUGGACUCUCAUUGAGCUCACCUAUCUCUUAGCACAUACGUCGCCAAGCGCCAAGCAAAAGAGAAGAAAAGAAAAGAGAUGCUCGAAGAAGCAAAAAUAAUUGCAAUUGUUAUGGGCAAGCAUAUCAAUACUAUUUUGAAAUCUCUGAACCAACCCUUCAUUGAAUACAAGCACUGGGUAACAAGCCGAGAAAACAAUGAGACGGUUAUGUCAACCAACAUGGACCAAUACAUUGCCCUUAAAGCAGCAUGUGCCAACAAGAACACUGAUUAUUCCCCUAUUUUUGAAUAAUUUUGCCAAUUUGUAGCUUUUUGAAGGACAAAACACUUUUAAUUUCCUUUUCCUGAAUUUAUGAAUGUAUUAACUAUUAUCAGUCAUCCUUUUAUGCUACGUGAACUUUCUUUAUUGAAACCUGCAUAAUACUUAAGCUUUCAACUCUUACUUUGCACCUUAAUUAUUGGUAGUUAAAACGUCAUGUCAUCGCUAUUUUUCUUUUUGUAUUAAAUGAUAUGUAGGUUAUGACUUUUUGACUUCUGAAUAUGUGCGUGGGAGAACGAAAGGACAGGGUUUGGAAAUCGAAUCGACAUCAUGCCUCCGUUGUAUGUGUACGGGCAUGUCGCCAUUAAUGCGGGAUCAGGGAAAGAUGAGGAGAAUACGACUCAUCUUAUCUUAUUAGAGCCAGUGUUGGCCACAAAUGAAUAGGCUUGCACAAGUGCUAACAUUCUAUGAAGACUUCAAUCAAUUCUCAAAGACUUCAAACAUGCCCGAAUUCUCUAUAACCUGGUGACUCAAUGGCUUGGGACUCUAAUCUUCUCAAGCCCGACUUGAACAGAGGGAGCACGAUCACAACAACCUUAGGGCUUCCCUAGAUAUAGUCCGUCUGGGCCAUCAGAGGAGUCAAAGUCAUGUGGGAGAGCUCCAGCGACUUAAAUGGAGGCUGAGGCAGCAAGCCUAGAAUGGAGGCGGUCUCACAGAUCUAGAAAGUCAUCGACAAGAAGUCAGGCUUCUACUUCACUUGGCUUGUUGUGAGUUGGACAUUACGUUCACGAGAUAGGCCAAAAUAAAAGCUACUUUCGACCAAGGAAGUCAAUCCUUGGCAGAGAUGUGCGUCUUCCUCAAACAUGAGAAUGGUGAUUUGCCUCGAUGCACAACACACCGGUCGAAAGCAAUUGAAAUGGUGGUCAAUUGUAGUUCCCAGUAUGAUUUGCUCCGCAAUUGGCUGAAUUAAGAUUUUUUUACCCUCCUUUUUUGUAUUUUAUUAUUUUUAUAUAAAUAUUUUUCUUUUGAUAUACCAAGCCAUUUUUCAGCCUUCUCCUAUAACUAGAUGUCCAUAAAGUUUUCUUUUCAUAUACAUUCGGUCGGACAUUAUGACCAAAUACAUCCAAUUAGGGCUCCGAUUAUGUCAAUUUCCCACUUUGAGGGAAUAUACAUCUUCAGAUAUUGGCCAUUGAUUGUCGAUUCA